rnacentral:RNase_P_RNA from 1 species
CAGGUCGGUCGGGUAAUCGCGGUUUCGAAUUCAUUUCGAUAUCGAGGAAAGUCCGCACUUCACAGGGCACGGCGCCGAGGAAAGCUCGGGAUGGAGCAAUCUAUCGGAUCGGGCCACAGAAACAGGUAGCCCUUUUAGGGUCAUAGUGAAAAGGUGGUGUAAGAGACCACCGGUGUCUGCAGCAAUGCAGCCAGCCAGGCAACCCCCGCCGGAAGCAAAGCCAAGCAGAGAUGAUGAGCUGCCCGUUUUUUACAUCUCGGGUAGGCUGCACAGAUAGAUGAUCACCCAAGAGAGAUUUCUCUCCGGACAAAAUGCGGCUUAUAGACCGGCCUGAGGC